GACGAACGCUGGCGGCGUGCUUAAAACAUGCAAGUCGAACGGGAGCUUCGGCUCCAGUGGCAAACGGCUGAGUAACGCGUGGGUGACCUACCUGGAAGUGGGGAAUAACUGCCCGAAAGGGUGGCUAAUACCGCAUGUGAUGGCGAGACCGAUCUCGUCAUGAAAGUCUUCGGACGCUUCGAGAGGGGCCCGCGUUCGAUUAGCUAGUUGGUGGGGUAACGGCCUACCAAGGCGACGAUCGAUAGCUGGUCUAAGAGGAUGAUCAGCCAGACUGGGACUGCGACACGGCCCAGACUCCUACGGGAGGCAGCAGUUAGGAAUUUUGGGCAAUGGGCGAAAGCCUGACCCAGCAACGCCGCGUGGGUGAUGAAGGCCUUCGGGUCGUAAAGCCCUUUUUCAGGGGAAGAUGAUGACGGUACCCUGAGAAUAAGCCCCGGCUAACUACGUGCCAGCCGCCGCAGUAAUAC
rnacentral:rRNA from 1 species